rnacentral:rRNA from 1 species
GGACUGAGAGGUUGAACGGCCACAUUGGGACUGAGACACGGCCCAGACUCCUACGGGAGGCAGCAGAGGGGAAUAUUGCACAAUGGGGGAAACCCUGAUGCAGCGACGCCGCGUGGAGGAAGAAGGUCUUCGGAUUGUAAACUCCUGUUGUUGAGGAAGAUAAUGACGGUACUCAACAAGGAAGUGACGGCUAACUACGUGCCAGCAGCCGCGGUAAAACGUAGGUCACAAGCGUUGUCCGGAAUUACUGGGUGUAAAGGGAGCGCAGGCGGGCGAUCAAGUUGGAAGUGAAAUCCAUGGGCUCAACCCAUGAACUGCUUUCAAAACUGAUUGUCUUGAGUAGUGCAGAGGUAGGCGGAAUUCCCGGUGUAGCGGUGGAAUGCGUAGAUAUCGGGAGGAACACCAGUGGCGAAGGCGGCCUACUGGGCACCAACUGACGCUGAGGCUCGAAAGUGUGGGUAGCAAACAGGAUUAGAUACCCUGGUAGUCCACACCGUAAACGAUGAUUACUAGGUGUUGGAGGAUUGACCCUUUCAGUGCCGCAGUUAACACAAUAAGUAAUCCACCUGGGGAGUACGACCGCAAGGUUGAAACUCAAAGGAAUUGACGGGGGCCCGCACAAGCAGUGGAGUAUGUGGUUUAAUUCGACGCAACGCGAAGAACCUUACCAAGUCUUGACAUCCUGCGACGAUGCUAGAAAUAGUAUUUUCCUUCGGGACGCAGAGACAGGUGGUGCAUGGUUGUCGUCAGCUCGUGUCGUGAGAUGUUGGGUUAAGUCCCGCAACGAGCGCAACCCUUAUGGUCAGUUACUACGCAAGAGGACUCUGGCCAGACUGCCGUUGACAAAACGGAGGAAGGUGGGGAUGACGUCAAAUCAUCAUGCCCUUUAUGACUUGGGCUACACACGUACUACAAUGGCGUUAAACAAAGAGAAGCAAGACCGCGAGGUGGAGCAAAACUCAGAGACAACGUCCCAGUUCGGACUGCAGGCUGCAACUCGCCUGCACGAAGUCGGAAUUGCUAGUAAUCGCAGAUCAGCAUGCUGCGGUGAAUACGUUCCCGGGCCUUGUACACACCGCCCGUCACACCAUGAGAGCCGGGGGGACCCGAAGUCGGUAGUCUAACCGCAAGGAGGACGCCGCCGAAGGUAAAACUGGUGAUUGGGGUGAAGUCGUAACAAGGUAGCCGUAGGAGAACCUGCGGCUG